UCUUAAGGAAAUAUAAGCAGGAGUUUCACAAGAGAGUGUGUUGGGCCCUCUUCUCUAUAUUCAAUUCACGCACAACCUGGAAGUUGAAUUACAAAACAGCCACAUUUCUAGAUACUACCUUGUUGUUUAGUGUAGUUAGUAGUGAGCACGAAUCGACUACUAAACUCCAAAAAGCCGUGGUAAAUAAAACUCUAUGAAGCUAAGUCAAUACACAUUGUUUUCACAUGCAAUAAGAUUUUCAUAAACGGUGUACGAAUACCGUCCUGCAACUCCGCUAAAUACUUGUAAAUGACAUUUAACUCCAGCUAAGCUAGAAAGUUCUUGUAAAAAACAAAUGGAAAGAUGCGACUCAAGGAUAUUAAUUGCUCAAUUGGUAACAAAUCAGUGCUAUCCAUCAAAAAACCUGUAUGAAGCUAUUGUGCACAACUCUGGUGACGUGCUAACGCAAAUUAUAAGAAAAUCAUCCUACAAUUCCUAAACUUAAUACUAAGACUAAUUGCUGAAUGGCCUUGGUGCUGAUAUAGGGUAUAAUCUAGGCGUAAACUCGAAUAAAGCAGUACCCAGGCGUAAACUCGUAAAUAUUAAAAAUUGCAGCAGCACUUAAAACAGUGUUGCUAAACCAUUGUAACAAAGAAGGAGCCAUGUUAACUUCUAGAAGUGGACCACCGAAACAACUCAAAUGCCUCAAAACCCAGCGAUAUUUCAAACUAUUCCAUUAAAUCAUUUUAAAGUUGCUUGUUAGUUUCUCUCGAAACUUUGCAAUAAGAGUAUGCAACUGUCCAAGAACCUACAUACAUAUUGUAUGUACAUUGUACAUAUACAUAUGCUACAAUGCUGGUAGAGAGGACAAUUUAUUUAAGUGAUUCUUCCUACUGCCUUAACUAACCCGUAAACGAUGUGAGAUUAAUGUGUUCCUGAAUUUCGACAAGGUACGGUGCCAAGCAUAUUGGAACCAUCUCAGUGCGCCUGUCCGGGAGCAAUGUGUUUUUCGGAAUUCCCUUUUCCCGCAUUAAAUGCUCUCUUGGUCCAUACAUUUUAGCACGUUUUAACCGAAAUCUACAUUUUAGGCUUCGGAGUUUUGUGAGUCGGCUAAAGGCGAAGAAUAGUAAUUGGUAACCAACCGAUACAGGAGUACUAUAUCAAAUCGAACAUUUUAGUGUUUGAUUCGCUUGCUCUCCUAACGGAAGAACAGUCAACAAGCGUAGCCAAGUAGAGUGCGAGAACUCCUACAAACCGUCGACGUGGUCGUUCUUAAUACGCACUUAUAGCGUAUUGAAAAUUCUAAUUCAGUGACUUAAGAUAAUUUAUUCUAAAGAAGGUGAAAAUUCUUAUCUGGAAUAAAUCUUAUUAACUUGUUUAAAACAAGUGGCAAAUAUAAAAGUUUGUAAAAUAAUAUUACAAUUGUUAACGAAAAAAACUUAAGAAACAGUUAUUAAUCCUGAAAAGUUAUUAAGCAUAUAUAAGUACGUAUCUCCUUACAUUGUCUUAUAUCCUAAAUACAUUUACAUAGGUUCCAACUUGCCAAUCAAAUAUGUGAUUAUUCGGACUUUCAAAUUACUGCAGCUUUCAGAAAUUAUAUUAAAUAUUAAGUGCGAUGAAGUUUGAGUGAAAACUGCUCCAAAUAUUGACCGAAUUCGGGAAGUAUUGGAACUUUUAAAAUAAAUAAGAAAUUAUUGACUUUUCGAGUCUAUAAAGAAGUUGUUCUACAACAUUCACACGUACAAGUUAACUCCAAAGCAUUUUAAGGAUAAGCUGAUGCAUGUAAGAGAUAAAUAAUCUAUGGUUACAACUCCAAGGUUUUAGCUCUGCAGCAUAUAUAGGAGGUGGCAAAUAAUUCGGUCAACCGACGUACUUUUUGGGAUCUCCAGGAGUUACUGUUAUUUGCUAUACAGUCAUUGACCAAAUAUAGGAAACUAAAGAAAGACAAUUCCAGACGUAAAGUUAAGCUGCGUUUACUGCCGAAAUAGAUUUUCUUAAGUGUGCCAUCGCGAUGGCUGCUCCAGCAGCCUGUACGCGUUUUUCCGAUAAUUAUGAAAUUAAGGAGGAACUUGGAAAGGGCGCCUUCUCUGUCGUCAAACGUUGUGUUCAAAAAUCAACACAAUUCGAGUUCGCAGCGAAAAUAAUCAACACAAAGAAACUCACCGCAAGAG